UACAGAGGUCUCAAGCGUUGUUCGGAUUCAUUGGGCGUAAAGGGUGCGUAGGCGGCGCGGUAAGUCGGGUGUGAAAUCUUGGAGCUUAACUCCGAAACUGCAUUCGAUACUGCCGUGCUUGAGGACUGGAGAGGAGACUGGAAUUCACGGUGUAGCAGUGAAAUGCGUAGAUAUCGUGAGGAAGACCAGUGGCGAAGGCGGGUCUCUGGACAGUUCCUGACGCUGAGGCGCGAAGGCCAGGGGGAGCAAACGGGG
rnacentral:rRNA from 1 species